rnacentral:rRNA from 1 species
UACGGGGGGGGUAAGCGUUGUUCGGAAUUACUGGGCGUAAAGGGCUCGUAGGUGGCCAACUAAGUCGGACGUGAAAUCCCUCAGCUUAACUGGGGAACUGCGUCCGAUACUGGAUGGCUCGAGUUUGGGAGAGGGAUGCGGAAUUCCAGGUGUAGCGGUGAAAUGCGUAGAUAUCUGGAGGAAUACCGGUGGCGAAAGCGACUCUCUGGACGGCAACUGACGCUGAGGCACGAAAGCGUGGGGAGCAAACGGG